GAUCACGAGGUCAGGAGAUGGAGACCAUCCUGGCUAACACUGUGAAACCCCAUCUCUACUAAAAAUACAAAAAAUUAGCUGAGGCUGGUGGUGGGCGCCUGUAGUCCCAGCUACUCAGGAGACUGAGGCAGGAGAAUGGCGUGAACCCGGGAGGCGGAGCUUGCAGUGAGCUGAGAUCGCACCACUGCACUCCAGCCUGGGUGACAGAGCGAGACUCUGUCUCAAAAAAAAAAAAACAAACAAACAAAAAACCCGGAGAUAUGGUUAACAAAAUAGUCAAAGUCACUCUUAUAGAAGUUUUGUUUUAUUUUUUGUUUUUUAAAAUUUUUUUACCAUUUUGUAGCUGACAAGUACUGACAAUAAACUGCUAUAAGCAUGUGUAGAAAAAGGCUCACCUUGAGUAGUUAAGAGUAAGGAAAAGGAAUAGUGUGUAGCAUCGUCUUAGUGGUAAGACUUAAGUUGAUUUAGUAGCAA
rnacentral:lncRNA from 10 species